UUUUUUUUAAUUAUUGUUUUUAAUAUAAAAUUUUAUAUUUUUAUAAAUAAUUUGAAAUCCUUUUAUUUUAAAACUACCUUAAAAAAAAAUUAUAAAAAUAUAAAAUUAAUAAUUUAAUUUUUUUAUAGAACUUGAAAUUUUAAUAUUUAUUAUUUUUUUCAAUUGUAAAAAAGACAAUGAAAAAAUUUUUAAAAUAUUAUAAGCUAUUUUUAUGUUCUUUUAAAAUAAAAAAAAAAA
rnacentral:tRNA from 1 species